rnacentral:rRNA from 1 species
CCCUGGAACGGGCCGUCAUAGAGGGUGAGAAUCCCGUCUGGGAUGGGGUGCCCGCGCCCGUGUGAAGCUCCUUCGACGAGUCGAGUUGUUUGGGAAUGCAGCUCUAAAUGGGUGGUAAAUUUCAUCUAAAGCUAAAUACUGGCCGGAGACCGAUAGCGCACAAGUAGAGUGAUCGAAAGAUGAAAAGCACUUUGAAAAGAGAGUUAAACAGCACGUGAAAUUGUUGAAAGGGAAGCGCUUGCGACCAGACUCGCCCGCGGGGUUCAGCCGGCAUUCGUGCCGGUGUACUUCCCCACGGGCGGGCCAGCGUCGGUUUGGGCGGCCGGUCAAAGGCCCUCGGAAUGUAACGCCCCCCGGGGCGUCUUAUAGCCGAGGGUGCCAUGCGGCCAGCCCGGACCGAGGAACGCGCUUCGGCUCGGACGCUGGCAUAAUGGUCGUAAGCGACCCGUCUUGAAACACGGACCAAGGAGUCUAACAUCUACGCGAGUGUUCGGGUGUCAAACCCGUGCGCGCAGUGAAAGCGAACGGAGGUGGGAACCCCCCGGGGUGCACCAUCGACCGAUCCUGAUGUCUUCGGAUGGAUUUGAGUAAGAGCGUAGCUGUUGGGA